UUGCGCUAUCAGAUGAGCCUAGGUCGGAUUAGCUAGUUGGUGAGGUAAUGGCUCACCAAGGCGACGAUCCGUAACUGGUCGGAGAGGAUGAUCAGUCACACUGGAACUGAGACACGGUCCACACUCCUACGGGAGGCAGCAGUGGGGAAUAUUGGACAAUGGGCGAAAGCCUGAUCCAGCCAUGCCGCGUGUGUGAAGAAGGUCUUCGGAUUGUAAAGCACUUUAAGUUGGGAGGAAGGGCAGUUACCUAAUACGUGAUUGUUUUGACGUUACCGACAGAAUAAGCACCGGCUAACUCUGUGCCAGCAGCCGCGGUAAUACAGAGGGUGCAAGCGUUAAUCGGAAUUACUGGGCGUAAAGCGCGCGUAGGUGGUUUGUUAAGUUGGAUGUGAAAUCCCCGGGCUCAACCUGGGAACUGCAUUCAAAACUGACUGACUAGAGUAUGGUAGAGGGUGGUGGAAUUUCCUGUGUAGCGGUGAAAUGCGUAGAUAUAGGAAGGAACACCAGUGGCGAAGGCGACCACCUGGACUAAUACUGACACUGAGGUGCGAAAGCGUGGGGAGCAAACAGGAUUAGAUACCCU
rnacentral:rRNA from 1 species